rnacentral:rRNA from 1 species
CAGUCGCCGCGGUAAUACGAAGGGGGCUAGCGUUGCUCGGAAUCACUGGGCGUAAAGGGUGCGUAGGCGGGUCUUUAAGUCAGGGGUGAAAUCCUGGAGCUCAACUCCAGAACUGCCUUUGAUACUGAAGAUCUUGAGUUCGGGAGAGGUGAGUGGAACUGCGAGUGUAGAGGUGAAAUUCGUAGAUAUUCGCAAGAACACCAGUGGCGAAGGCGGCUCACUGGCCCGAUACUGACGCUGAGGCACGAAAGCGUGGGGAGCAAACAGGAUUAGAUACCCCUGUAGUCCCUGUCUCUUAUAC